GCUAGAUCUUUAAAAAAGUAAAUUUUAUUAACCCCAAACACGCCAGUUUUGAAGUACAUAUUAACCCCAUACACGCCAGAUCUGAAAAACAUUUUAUUAACCCCACACACGCCAGAUCUGAAGUACCGGUACAUUUUAUUAACCCAACAUAUGCCAGAUCUUAAGUACAUUUUAUUAACCCUGCAUACACCAGAUCUGAAAUACAUUUUAUUAACCACACAUACACCAGAUCACAAGUGCAUUUUAUUAACCCCCACAUACACCAGAUCUGAAGUACAUUUUAUUAACCCAACAUACGCCAGAUGUCAAGUGCAUUUUAUUAACCCCACACAUACCAGAUCUUUAUAAAGUACAUUUUAUUACCAUUACUCACACCAGAUCUGAAAUACAUUUUAUUAACCCAACAUACGCCAGACCUCAAGUACAUGUUAUUAACCCCACACACGCCAGAUCUUUAACGAAGUACAUUAUAUUAAACCCACACAGGCCAGAUCUUUAACGAAGUACAUUAUAUUAAACCUACACAGGCCAGAUCUUUACAAAGUACAAGUUAG